rnacentral:rRNA from 1 species
CAGUGAUAAACUGGAGGAAGGUGGGGAUGACGUCAAGUCAUCAUGGCCCUUACGACCAGGGCUACACACGUGCUACAAUGGCGCAUACAAAGAGAAGCGACCUCGCGAGAGCAAGCGGACCUCAUAAAGUGCGUCGUAGUCCGGAUUGGAGUCUGCAACUCGACUCCAUGAAGUCGGAAUCGCUAGUAAUCGUGGAUCAGAAUGCCACGGUGAAUACGUUCCCGGGCCUUGUACACACCGCCCGUCACACCAUGGGAGUGGGUUGCAAAAGAAGUAGGUAGCUUAACCUUCGGGAGGGCGCUUACCACUUUGUGAUUCAUGACUGG